UACAGAGGGUGCGAGCGUUGUCCGGAAUCACUGGGCGUAAAGAGCUCGUAGGCGGUCUGUCGCGUCUGCUGUGAAAACCUAGGGCUUAACUCUGGGCGUGCAGUGGGUACGGGCAGGCUAGAGUGCGGUAGGGGAGACUGGAAUUCCGUGGUGUAGCGGUGAAAUGCGCAGAUAUCAGGAGGAACACCGGUGGCGAAGGCGGGUCUCUGGGCCAUUACUGACGCUGGAGGAGCGAAAGCGUGGGUAGCGAACAGG
rnacentral:rRNA from 1 species